AAUAAGCUAAUUAAGAGCGUAAGGUGGAUGCCUUGGCUCUCAGAGGCGAUGAAGGACGUGAUAAGCUGCGAUAAGCUACGGGGAUUGGCACACACAAUUUGAUCCGUAGAUUUCCGAAUGGGGAAACCCACUAUAUUGAAGAUAUAGUAUCCGUUAAGGAAGCAAACCCAGGGAACUGAAACAUCUAAGUACCUGGAGGAAUAGAAAACAAAAGUGAUUCCGCUAGUAGUGGCGAGCGAACGCGGAUCAGCCCAAACCAAAAUUGUUUCGGCAAUUUUGGGGUUGUAGGACCAUGACAUUGAAUGUUUAAUGAAUUAGAAUUCUUUGGAAAAAGAAACCAUAGAGGGUGAUAGUCCCGUAUAAGUAGAGAGAAUUAUUCAUAGUGG
rnacentral:rRNA from 1 species